AAGUCGUAACAAGGUUUCCGUAGGUGAACCUGCGGAAGGAUCAUUACAACGUAUCCACGUACAAACCAGUGAACUGUUCCCAACGGAAUGAGAUACAAAAGCAAUUUUGUAUUCGAGGUUGAUGGCAUGUGUGGUUCCUGCUGAUGGAGUUUCUGGGCUUUUGCCUCGAAACUAGGGCCUAACAUACCGCGAAAGCUUUUGGCUUUCGGACCUCAAGCUCUUCCGUUUGGUUGAUUACCGUCAGCUUGUAAAACCCUUUAUUAACCCUAUGUGUACCAUUUGAUCUGAUCUAUUCUGUCUGAAAACGCGUUCUUGUUGGCUUUAAGUCACGAACCGUCUCAGCAGGAGUUUGAUACGAAGCAAAGAACAACUCUUAACAACGGAUAUCUUGGUUCCC
rnacentral:misc_RNA from 1 species